GGGGCCGACCGGUUUCGACCGGACAGGCAGAUUUAUCGUGGCACGCCGAGGCGCACGUUGGCCGCGUUAAAAACGUGCAAAACCAAUAACUGCCAACAACGAUGUUGCAGGCCGGAUUGGCUUUAACGAGCCGCUCCGGAUGGCUGCCUAAAUUCGCAGCCGUGGUCGUGGAUGACCGCCCGUAAGAUUUUGCGACCACAACAAUUCAUCGGGCUCGUCCAAAGGCGGCGUAUCAGCGUCUGCGGACUAAAAAACACUGACGCUGGGUGAGGCGGAUGUGUCCGCUGGUAGGCGCCUCAUCGAGAUUAAAGCAGCGGAUAAGCGUGUAGAGGCGGUAGGUCGACUGUCUCGGGACGGGGGUUCAACUCCCCCCGGCUCCAUUA
rnacentral:tmRNA from 1 species